AUUGAGCGCUGGCGGCAGGCCUAGCACAUGCAAGUCGAACGGUAGCACAGAGAGCUUGCUCUCGGGUGACGAGUGGCGGACGGGUGAGUAAUGUCUGGGAAACUGCCCGAUGGAGGGGGAUAACUACUGGAAACGGUAGCUAAUACCGCAUAACGUCGCAAGACCAAAGUGGGGGACCUUCGGGCCUCACACCAUCGGAUGUGCCCAGAUGGGAUUAGCUAGUAGGUGGGGUAAUGGCUCACCUAGGCGACGAUCCCUAGCUGGUCUGAGAGGAUGACCAGCCACACUGGAACUGAGACACGGUCCAGACUCCUACGGGAGGCAGCAGUGGGGAAUAUUGCACAAUGGGCGCAAGCCUGAUGCAGCCAUGCCGCGUGUAUGAAGAAGGCCUUCGGGUUGUAAAGUACUUUCAGCGGGGAGGAAGGCGGUGGAGUUAAUAACUUCACCGAUUGACGUUACCCGCAGAAGAAGCACCGGCUAACUCCGUGCCAGCCGCCGCAGUAA
rnacentral:rRNA from 1 species